rnacentral:lncRNA from 1 species
UGGCCAAGGCCAUCGAGGCCUCAGUGAUGAAGCCAGAACCAGAAGCUACUCUCACAACCUGCAGCCUCUCAGCUUAGCUCUCUGCCUCAGGAGUGCUGGGGGGCUCCUUGACCUUUACCUGAGCUUCGAGAGAGACAAGGAAGCGUGUGCUGAGGGGGCCUCAGGAGUGGUAGAAAGCAGCAGAGCUGUGGGGUGGGAGGCCCAGGUCAGGCCACUGGCCACAGCACCCACCUGGGCAGAGUGGACAGUCCCUUAACACUUCUGGGCCCGAUUCCUCACCACAGGGUAGGCCUCUGAUGCCAGGUGAGCAUCACGUGAGGGCUGCUGUAAGAGCACAUGGUGGUGCCUCGCUUGCUGUCCGUGUCUAGGGAUCCCAGUUUCCUACCUCAUCCUAGCAUGGAAUUCCUAGUUCCUUCAAAGCAGAGACUUGAGCCUCUUAAGAGCCUCGAAACCCUGGCCAACACCCCCGCCCCCCACCUUGCCCUCCCUCUGCCUGCUGGGCCCUGCUGGUCCAGGUGUCACACUGAGAACUCCACGAACAUUCUCUCCGAGGUUCAUGAGGGAUGUUCCCGCCUCACAGGGCAGGAAACCAGGGCUACAAGCUGCAGAUGAUUGAGGUGCCUGUCCUCUCCGAUGACUCAGUCCCCAUUGGUGUGCUGGGAGGUGACUACUACAGGAAGCUCCUUCGCUACUACAGCAAGAGCCACCCCACGGAGGCCAUCAGGUGCUACGAGCUGCUGGCCCUGCACCUGUCAGUCAUCCCCACCAACCUGCUGGUGCAACAGGCCAGCCAGCUCGCCCGGCGCCUGGGGGAGGCCUCCCGUGUGCCCCUGCCCUAGGCCAGAUUGCAGGCUGCUGCCAGGGCACCUGUUCUGCAGCCAUCCCUGCUUGCAAAAGUGCCCCCUCCCCGUAGCAGAAACUUUUCUUCUGUCCCCAGUAGCCUCCUGAGGAUGCGAGGAGGCCCCAAGGUUUAUCACACCCCACUUGGACCGCCUCCACACGGGGUGGUGAACAAACUCCUAAAUCCUGCCCUCUGGAGGCAGAGGCUUUGGGCUUCCUCUUUAAAACAGUGGUGACUGUGAGGUCAGAGACGGCAGCAGCUCCUCUUUCAGAGCUGCAUCCCCACUUGUCCCCAGAAGAGAGGAAGACCCUAAUGCUCAGACUGUCUGAAGACCCCCCUCUGCCUCUGCUGUUCUGAGCAGAAAAGCCUGUUUUCUGCCCCCAGAUAAUAGGUGCGCCAUUGGCUGGUUGGGUUCCAGCUCUGCAGCCUCGUCUGCAACUCGGGGCAUUUUCAAUGCUGUUCCCCCACAUUUCAAGUAAUGACACCCCCCUCAGGUGGCUGGGAGGGUCACCCAGCACAUGAUAGGUGCUUAAUAAAUGUCAGUUGUUGUCAUCCAGCAUGUCAGUGCUUCAGGACCCUUUUGUCAAUACUGAGAAACCUUGCUAGGGUCUGGCCCCUCCAUGCCGGGCUUGCUUCUCCCUAGGGCUGUAGUUCUCGGCUCCAGACCCUGGCCCAGAGAUUCAGAUUCAUGUGCUCGGUGUAAAGUCAAGACUGAUGAUUCUAAAAGCUCCUCAGGUAAUCUGGUGUUCCCCAGACUGAACCCACUUCCCAGGGGUACAGCCCCUCUCUUCUAACCAGAGAUUCUUACCACAGGACAGACACCAAGAUGAACACUGGGACACAGGUGUGGGCUCCUCAGGCAAAGAGGAGGCAUUGGAUUGAGAGAGGUGGCAGGGUAGAAAUAAGCAUCCACCCCAGAAGCAAAGGACACCCUGGUGUGCGGGCAGGAGCCCAGCCUUCUGCAUCUCAGUCUUGGGCAGAAACUCUGUGAAGGACACUGGUCUUUCCCUUGCAGGGAACUGCUUUGGGGAGGACAGAGGCACUGAGGGUUAGAGUCCUUAUGAGGACAGUGUCCCAGAGACAACCUGAUCUGUAUUCCUUAAUAUCGUGAUUUUAUGGGUGAGAAUUAAAAAGAAAAAUAUCAAAUGUGGAAAAUACAGAAGAGCACAAAGGAAAAAGAACGUAGCCUAUAAGCCCACCACUGUAUAAGACACCUACUUUUAAAAAAAUUAAUGUUUUCCCUUGAUUUUUAGCCUGUACAUGAUGUGAAGAAUCUGGUUGAGCUAAUCUGCUGACUGUUCUGUACAAUCAUCCACAGGGGAUUGGCUCCAGGACUCCUUGACAACAGGUGCACAGGCAGCCUAUCAAAAUCUGCAGACGUUCAAGUUCCUAAAUAAAAUGAUGCAGUAUUGGCUGGU